CCUACGGGUGGCAGCAGUGAGGAAUAUUGGUCAAUGGGCGCGAGCCUGAACCAGCCAAGUCGCGUGAGUGAAGACGGUCCUAUGGAUUGUAAACCUCUUUUGUCGGGGAGCAAAAGACGCCACGCGUGGCGUUCCGAGAGUACCCGAAGAAAAAGCAUCGGCUAACUCCGUGCCAGCAGCCGCGGUAAUACGGAGGAUGCGAGCGUUAUCCGGAUUUAUUGGGUUUAAAGGGUGCGCAGGCGGAAGAUCAAGUCAGCGGUAAAAUUGAGAGGCUCAACCUCUUCGAGCCGUUGAAACUGGUUUUCUUGAGUGAGUGAGAAGUAUGCGGAAUGCGUGGUGUAGCGGUGAAAUGCAUAGAUAUCACGAGGAACCCCGAUUGCGAAGGCAGCCUGCCGGGGUGCGACUGACGCUGAGGCUCGAAGGUGCGGGUAUCAAACAGGAUUAGAUACCCGAGUAGUC
rnacentral:rRNA from 1 species